rnacentral:misc_RNA from 1 species
GAUGAAGAACGUAGCGAAAUGCGAUAAGUAAUGCGAAUUGCAGAAUUUCCGUGAGUCAUCGAAUCUUUGAACGCACAUUGCGCCUCCUGGUAUUCCGGGAGGCAUGCCUGUUCGAGCGUCAUUAAAAUCACUCAAGCUUAGGUUUACCUAUUGCUUGGUCUUGGAGAUGGAAGCCAAUUUAUUGGAAUCCUCUUCGAAAUUCAAUGGCGAAGACCCUUGCUCUCCCAAGUGUAGUAAUAACUUAUGUCACUGAAGGAAGCGAGAAAUCUUCUGCCGUAACCCCCAUAUUUUCUAUGAUUGACCUCGGAUCAGGUAGGGAUACCCGCUGAACUUAAGCAUAUCAAUAAGCGGAGGA